UGAUCCUUCUGCCACUAUCCAAAGUAACAAACAUCUAAACAUCCUCUGCAAACAUUUGGUGAAGGUGAAAACAAACAAAAGGAGAAAUUAUUGAAGAAUCCUUUCCUCAAAAAACUCCAAGUAGGACUUGGGCUUGGUGAUCUGUUUAUAAAGCCUCUUCAGAUCUUCAUCUGGGAGCAUUUUAUGGAGCAGGUGGAUAUCCUACUGCUUGGAGCUGUGAGCUCGCUUUGGAGACCAUCUUCCCCUUGGAAUAUGGCAGAUGACUGAGAAAUGAGGUGAACCCUGAUAGUGUGGACCACAGAUAGCUUAACUCUUUGAAGAUAUGCCUAUUUUGACUCCACCUAUAAGAGAGCACUACUCUGCCUGCUAAGACAGAAUGGAAC
rnacentral:lncRNA from 1 species